CCUAUAUUAAUCAAUAAGGCAUCUGAUUGGCCCUGCUAAACAUGAACCAAACCUUUGGUCAAACCCUCGUCUUCUUUAAAUCAACAACAGUCUGAUAUUUUGUUUAUGAUCAGACUUCCUGCAGCUGCUCGUUACUUCAUUAAUUUUUCACCAGAUUCCUUGUUAUAUGUGAGUGAACCUGAAGUUUCAUCAUGCCGUCGCCCCGGCUACACAAACAGGAUGGAAAGAAGGCAUCAGGGUUUGUCUCCAUGACAAUGGUAAACAGGUCUGUCAGCGUGACCUGCACAGGUGAAACAUUACCCUCGCACCCACACACACCCACACACUCACACACACUCACACACACUCACACUCACUCACACUCACUCACUGUGGAUGGAUGGCGGACUCAAAGCAAACAUCCAAACGCACCAACUUUGUGCAUCAAGAUGAAAUCUGGAAAGCACACAUAAAGUUUGAGAAGGAUUCUGAUGAAGCCUGGCCCAGGAAGUGGGGCUUCUUGACUGAAGUUUAUAAAGAGUAUGAUAUGGAAAAUAUGAAGCAGAAGGAAGUCCUCAAAGAGACACUAACCAAUCAGCAUCAACCUCUGACCCCUCCA